GAAUUUAUUAGUUAUCUCAUCAAUUUGUGAUUGCAUGACUAUAUUGUCAGAAUUGUUACGGAUAACCCGACAAUAUUGCGCAUACAGGAUUGAAUCAAUUAAAGGUUUAGGAUGAGCACUAUUACUAUGUAAAAUAGUAUUCCGGUCAGUUGGUUUGGAAAAAAGGCUAUAGGAUAAGCCAUGAUCCACAACCAUUAUCUCCAGAUCCAAGAAUUGUAUAUUUUCUGUGCUAAUAUGCGCUGUUAAUCUGACAGGUAGGGGCAAAUGAUUUAAGUACUCUACCAUGGCAUGAGCCUGAG